CAGUGUUAGGCUUCGGCCUCAUUCACACCCUGUGCACCUUUGGCCUCUUGCUAGCUUCGGUCGGCAGAGGAUUUUUAUACCUACUCGAAUGUAAUGAAAUUAUUGUCGUGCGCAAGCACUAAUGUA
rnacentral:misc_RNA from 1 species